CGCGUAGGCGGGUGCCCAAGUCCGGGGUGAAAGCCUCCAGCUUAACUGGAGAAUUGCCUCGGAUACUGGGCGUCUGGAGUGGGGUAGGGGUGUGCGGAACGCUGGGUGGAGCGGUGAAAUGCGUUGAUAUCCAGCGGAACUCCGGUGGCGAAAGCGGCACACUGGACCCCGUCUGACGCUGAGGCGCGAAAGCCAGGGGAGCGAAG
rnacentral:rRNA from 1 species